UUUACUAUAGCCUUGUUUAAAACAUUUACUAUAUAAUAAAAAAAGAAAUAUUAAUCAUAAAACUUUCCUCAAAUUUUCAUCACAGCUGCUUCCAUUGUUCAUAUUGUAAGUCUUAAGGAAGUAAUACUUCUUCGUAACAUUAUCCUCAAUCUUUAGCAAGUUUUUAACCAACUGUGAAAAGUAAUGAUCAUCUAAAGUGAUCAAUACAUUAAAGUUGAUGUCAUUUAAAUAAAUAAAUCCCAAGUUAUAAAUGAUUUGUGUAUGCUUAAAACGUGGUUUUCUGUGAAAGUUGAGAUUUUUUUACUUACUUUCACCUUUUAAUCGGGGAGAAAACGUGGCACAUAUGUUCGUGUGGGAGAAAAUUCAGCUACUUGCACAAUCUUAAAUCGCAUCAGAAAAUAGAAUGUGGCGUAGAAUUUAAGUGUGAGGUUUGCGGAAAGAGCUACAAAUCGAAAACGGCCCUGAAGACGCACUGCUUCACAGUGCACCAGAAAGUUUUAUACUGAUUUUUAUUAAAUGUUUUCUGAUUGGAAUAAAUUGUUUGAUACCGACCAUUGCUUUUAUUCCACCUCCCUGAAACACGAUCGCAAGUUGUGGCCAGAUAAGUAAAGCAACUUUUGUUUCAGGUUGGCGACAGCAGUAUAAAUACAAGUGCGAAUGCGGGAGGAACUUCUCACACAAGAACCACUUCCGCUAUCACCGCAAGUCGGAAUGCGGGGUAGAUUUCAAAUGCCACAUUUGUACCAAGAAAUACAAAGCGAAGCAGACCCUCAUCGCCCACCUAGCCACCGUCCACCAUAGUGUCAAUACCUAGUCAAUAAAUAUACUUUACCUUCAAGGGACUUUAUGCCUGAGACCUUUACAAAGCCCCCGCGAAUUCCUCCCGCCAGCGGCAAUAUCUAAUCUUUUUUUAUUUUUGAAGGGCGAAAGUACAGAUUCCAGUGCGUCUGCGGGAGGAACUACUCCCACCGGCGGCACUAUCAGCAUCACAAGAAAAAAGAAUGCGGCAUAGUCUUCACCUGUGAAUUCUGCGGUCGUGUCUACAAGACAAAACUGAGCUUGAAAAUUCACAAAAAUAUACAUAUUUCUAAUCGCUUCAUUUAGAAAAUACACUUAUAGUAAUUUAAGGAAAUCUUUGUAAGUAAUA